rnacentral:rRNA from 1 species
CCUACGGGAGGCAGCAGUGGGGAAUAUUGCACAAUGGGGGAGACCCUGAUGCAGCGACGCCGCGUGAGCGAAGAAGUCUUUCGGUAUGUAAAGCUCUAUCAGCAGGGAAGAAAAUGACGGUACCUGAGUACGCAUCUCCGGCUAAAUACGUGCCAGCAGCCGCGGUAAUACGUAUGGAGCAAGCGUUAUCCGGAUUUACUGGGCGUAACGGGAGCGUAGGCGGCCUGCCAAGUCUGAUGUGAAAUACCGGGGCUCAACCCCGGGGCUGCAUUGGAAACUGGCAGGCUGGAGUGCAGGAGAGGCAGGCGGAAGUCCUAGUGUAGCGGUGAAAUGCGUAGAUAUUAGGAGGAACACCAGUGGCGAAGGCGGCUUGCUGGACGGUGACUGACGCUGAGGCUCGAAAGCGUGGGGAGCAAACAGGAUUAGAUACCCGAGUAGUC